rnacentral:misc_RNA from 1 species
GUAGGUGAACCUGCGGAGGGAUCAUUCACAUGAUUUACUUUAUAAACAAACCGUGAACUUUAUUAUAUACUAUUCUUGUAUGAUAACUCCAGUUAUUAUUACAACGUCAUUCGAUGAACAUUUGAUAGCUGGCUCGUUUUUUUUAAAAAACUUUCUCAGCUGAUUUGUUUGUUAGACUAAACAUCUAUUCAAUCAAUCAACCAAACAUAGAAACAACUCUAUGCCCUGGAUAUCUUGGUUCUCGCAUCGA